rnacentral:rRNA from 1 species
UACGUAGGGUGCAAGCGUUGUCCGGAAUUAUUGGGCGUAAAGAGCUCGUAGGCGGCUUGUCACGUCUGCUGUGAAAACUCGGGGCUCAACCCCGAGCCUGCAGUGGAUACGGGCUAGCUAGAGUGCGGUAGGGGAGACUGGAAUUCCUGGUGUAGCGGUGAAAUGCGCAGAGUAUCAGGAGGAACACCGGUGGCGAAGGCGGGUCUCUGGACCGAUGACUGACGCUGAGGAGCGAAAGCGUGGGGAGCGAACAGG